rnacentral:rRNA from 1 species
AUUGAACGCUGGCGGCAUGCUUUACACAUGCAAGUCGAACGGUAACAGGCCGCAAGGUGCUGACGAGUGGCGAACGGGUGAGUAAUGCAUCGGAACGUGCCCAGUCGUGGGGGAUAACGCAGCGAAAGCUGUGCUAAUACCGCAUACGCUCUAUGGAUGAAAGCGGGGGACCGUAAGGCCUCGCGCGAUUGGAGCGGCCGAUGGCAGAUUAGCUAGUUGGUGGGGUAAAGGCCCACCAAGGCGACGAUCUGUAGCUGGUCUGAGAGGACGACCAGCCACACUGGGACUGAGACACGGCCCAGACUCCUACGGGAGGCAGCAGUGGGGAAUUUUGGACAAUGGGCGCAAGCCUGAUCCAGCAAUGCCGCGUGCAGGAAGAAGGCCUUCGGGUUGUAAACUGCUUUUGUACGGAACGAAACGGUCUGGGUUAAUACCCUGGGCUAAUGACGGUACCGUAAGAAUAAGCACCGGCUAACUACGUGCCAGCCGCCGCGGUAAUAC